rnacentral:rRNA from 1 species
UCUUACCGGGACCGACAGCAAUAUGAAGGCCAGGCUGAAGACUUUGCCGGAUUAGCUGAGAGGUGGUGCAUGGCCGUCGUCAGUUCGUACUGUGAAGCAUCCUGUUAAGUCAGGCAACGAGCGAGACCCACGCCCACAGUUGCCAGCGUACUCUCCGGAGUGACGGGUACACUGUGGGGACCGCCGCUGCUAAAGCGGAGGAAGGAAUGGGCAACGGUAGGUCAGUAUGCCCCGAAUAUCCCGGGCUACACGCGAGCUACAAUGGUUGGUACAAUGGGUAUCUACCCCGAAAGGGGACGGGAAUCUCCUAAAACCAAUCUUAGUUCGGAUUGAGGGCUGCAACUCGCCCUCAUGAAGCUGGAAUCCGUAGUAAUCGCGUUUCAACAGAACGCGGUGAAUACGUCCCUGCUCCUU